GAUGAAGAACGUAGCGAAAUGCGAUAAGUAGUGUGAAUUGCAGAAUUCAGUGAAUCAUCGAAUCUUUGAACGCACAUUGCGCCCCUUGGUAUCCUGAGGGGCAUGCCUGUUCGAGCAUCAUUUCACCACUCAAGCCUGGCUUGGUGUUGGGCGACGUCCUCUUUGGGGACGCGCCUCGAAACGCUCGGCGGCGUGGCACCGGCUUUAAGCGUAGCAGAAUCUUUCGCUUUGGAAGUCGGGGCCCCGUCUGCCGGAAGACCUGCUCGCAAGGUUGACCUCGGAUCAGGCAGGGAUACCCGCUGAACUUAAGCAUAUCAAUAAGCGGAGGA
rnacentral:misc_RNA from 1 species